GACGAACGCUGGCGGCGUGCUUAACACAUGCAAGUCGAACGGCAAGGCCCUGCUUUUGUGGGGUGCUCGAGUGGCGAACGGGUGAGUAACACGUGAGUAACCUGCUCUUGACUUUGGGAUAACUUCAGGAAACUGGGGCUAAUACCGGAUAGGAGCUCCUGCUGCAUGGUGGGGGUUGGAAAGUUUCGGCGGUUGGGGAUGGACUCGCGGCUUAUCAGCUUGUUGGUGGGGUAGUGGCUUACCAAGGCUUUGACGGGUAGCCGGCCUGAGAGGGUGACCGGCCACAUUGGGACUGAGAUACGGCCCAGACUCCUACGGGAGGCAGCAGUGGGGAAGAUUGCACAAUGGGCGGAAGCCUGAUGCAGCAACGCCGCGUGCGGGAUGACGGCCUUCGGGUUGUAAACCGCUUUCGCCUGUGACGAAGCGUGAGUGACGGUAAUGGGUAAAGAAGCACCGGCUAACUACGUU
rnacentral:rRNA from 1 species